AUCAUACGCCAGUAGUCGGAUAAGGCCAAUGUAAACCAAGGCCGCAACGGGUAGAGACCUCGACGCAGACGCAAUUUAUGUACGAGCAACAGAUUAGAGACUUACAAGCUAUGGUGCAACAAUUGACGUAUGCCAAAGAAAGGAAUUUAUGAUGGUCACAAAUAUAUUGGCAAAAACAUAGCAAGUGCAUAUGCCAAGUUGGAAAAAUUGACAAUGCUGGCUAAAAAGAAGAGUCUUUUCGAUGAUCGACCGCAAUAGGUUCAAGAAUUGACUUACAUCAUGGUGUAUGCGUUACAAUCUAAAUUAGCCAGCAUGGGCACCGACUUCAAACAG